rnacentral:rRNA from 1 species
GUCUACGGCCAUACUACCCUGAACGCGCCCGAUCUCAUCUGAUCUCGGAAGCUAAGCAGGGUCGGGCCUGGUUAGUACUUGGAUGGGAGACAGAUGCACGUAGAAU